rnacentral:lncRNA from 1 species
UCAAGAGAAAAAAAUGAAGAAAUAUGCAUACCAGGAAAACCUAGAGAAAUGCAGAUUUAAUAUUUUUCAGUUUAUCAUAUUUUUGGGUGAAUGCUUAUAAUGACACAUGGUUUUCAAUUAUUUGGUGUUUCUCAACUUUGCAUUUGCUUGAGACUAUUCCCUCAAUGAACUCAACAUUUUCAAAGGAUCAAAGGAGAUUUUUUUUUCUUUUCUGAACACAGAAAACUGUGGAGAAAAAAUUAAUUUCAGUUUUCUUUAUUUUCAGAUUGCUCCUGUGUUUCAUAGAUGGGAAAUCAUACUGAUGACUCAACCAUAUAUAGCAUUAUUUUGCUGGUUCAUGCUACCUCAGCGGAAAGUAACAAGGCUAAUUAUUUUUCUCUGCAUGAUAAAAAUCUAUUACAUUUAUUGAGAAGCCUACCAGUCGAUAGACACAUAUUUAUUUCAGGAUAAUCUAGCUCCUAAAAUACUAUCAAUGACAUUGACCUUUAGCUGGAUUGCAAGAACAGAAUACGCACAACUCAUUUUUUCCCAGUUUCAUAAUUUUGGCAUCCAUAUAUUUUUUUUAGACAAGCUUAGGCUGCCUUUGCUUGGCUAUGAUAGAUAUUUUAGAAUAUCUCUGACUCAUGAAUAUAAAUAGUUGUGCAAAAAUAAAUUUCAUAAAACCAGAGCUGGUAACAAAAAUCACCUAGAGAUCAACAACUCUGAAAGAAUCUAGUGUCACAUUCCUUGGUAUGUCAGAUUAAACUAACAUGUGCCAGUCAAUAUUGCUACACUGCGACCCUUGAUGCCUCCUAAGCAAAACUAUUAAGUCCAACAUUCUCUCCUGUAAGCACUUAUCUGUAAGGAUGGCUAACAUGUCCUCUGAAGCAGAUAUUGAAACUGAUUGGACAAUAGGUAGAUACCAGACAGGGGCCUGGGGGCUGACCUCUAGAAAUAGGGGGAGAAAAUCUUAAUCUGCAACACAAUGCCGUUCUCUUGAAACCCUAUCAUUUUCACUUCCCAUGUGUCUGCUGCCUGACUGUGAAUGGAUUUGAAAAGGAAUGGUUAGUGCUGAAAAUUGGAUCAGAGCUAACAUUCUCUCAUUUUUAUCAGCAGCUGCCAAAGGUCAUCUGACAUAAUAGCUGAUGAAUUCAAGCCCAGUGGAUUUCAUUUGCAAUUUUCAAUUUACUGAGGCCUCCAAACCCCACGGUGAUAAAAGCUUCCCCUAUCGUGGCCUGUCACAAACAUCAAGAAACUGCACAAACCCACAAGAAAGAAAAAAGAGAAAGCUGUGCAUCAUCACAGCUAUAGAUAAGGAGAACAGGAAGAAAUGGUAUCAUGCAGGAAGAUGGGGAGCAGCCUGUGUGGCUAGUUCUCUAAAUGCCAAUUGAAACGAAAAGACUAUGAGGAACAAUCAAAUAACUUCCACAGAAUAACAACAUGUUUCUUUGGAGCUUUUAUGUGAAAAUUGCCUUCUAAUCUCUGACUUGACAUGCUCCCACACAAAAAUAUAAAUGGUAGAUCCUUUGAUUGAUUUGCCAGGGAAGUCAAAGGACUGACAUAGCAACUACUUGUAAGUGGAUCUAGAUGUAGUACAUAUCAAAGAUGCAUUAGCAAGAAGAAGAAAGCCAUUUUUCCCCCUGUCAAACUAUUUACAAUGAACUUAGGCAGGAUCGGGAACUGAAUCCUGUUCCCAGGCAGUUGUUCAAAUUGAGCAAACCAUAUGUGUGUUUCUUGGAGAAUAGCAAGUUUGAUAACUCAGCAGGUCACCUUUGUCCUAUCCUACUUGACUCAUACCACGGCCUGGAAAAGGAGAAAGCAAAUAGAUGUCCACUGCUUGAGGUGUAGCUGCUGGGAGAAUUUAGUUUCAAACGGAGAUGUCUUGAUCCUGUUUCUACCAAAUAGGUUCAGGAAGGCUUAUGAAGUUUGUCUGAUGCAGUAAGAGGACUUGGCAGUGGGCAUGUACCAACCUGCCGAAUGCCAAUAUUUCUGAUGACACGUGACAAGAAAAUCUGAGAAUGAUAUCAACAGGACCAGAAUAUUAACUUUAUUUGUGUGUUGCUAACUGUGUGACAAUCACAGUUUGGAAAGGAAAAGAGAAUAAUUCCUAGUUGAACUCAUAUGGCAGUGAGAGAUUGCCUUCUGUAGAGUUAUUCUUUAAAAUUGUCGCAGCAAAAACAAAAGUAGGAGCUACUUGUUGUAAGUGAAUCUUGAGUUCUUUGAAAUUAAACUGUUUCUUAAGAUUCUUCUAUUAGCAAAAAAGUUAGCAAUCUUUUAAUUCUUCAAAGUCUCAACAUAGAAAAUAGUUUCCUCAGUAGUCGAAAAUGACAGGAAUUAACAUUUUGAAAUAAGAGAAAUAAAACUUUAUUCUAAAGCUGCAGAAAAUGUGGAAAGUAACAAUAUUUUAGCAUUUUAGUAUUUUUCCCCUACACAAAAUUAUCAGGAUGCCAUUUUUUAAAGUUGCUUUCACCCUACCUUUUUUUUUUUUUUUUUUUUUUUUUACUUUCUAUAGGUUCAAUGAGAACUCUCUAUGAUUUGCAAUUUCCAUGGGUUCUCUUUCAAUUGUUAGCGUAAUACUGAGACCCCACUGAUGGUAAUAUAUUAUUUAAUGGGAUCUUAAUUUAGACAGGCUUCUGAAAAAUACAUACAAUUUGGUAAGAGUAUUUCAUUAUCACUGUGCUUCUAUGGCAGUGAUAUAAGGCAAGCUGUACCAAUUGGUCUGCAGUUACACAGCAUAAAGGUUAAUCUCUUUUAUGUUCCUUUUAUUAGAAAGGCAGAUCUGAAUCUUCGGGGCAGAGCCCUAAAUUGUUCUUG